GGUCAUGAGUGCCAGCGACAAGCCCCGGCUAGCUGGUCGGCAACCCUCCUCCACGGUGGGGUGCUCCGGGUGACGACCUGGCCGCGCUCGAACCCGAGCGAGGCAAGUGUGGAUU
rnacentral:ncRNA from 2 species